GUGGGAAGCAGUGGGAAGCAGUG
rnacentral:miRNA from 1 species